rnacentral:rRNA from 1 species
GAUGAACGCUGGCGGCGUGCCUAAUACAUGCAAGUCGAGCGAACAGACGAGGAGCUUGCUCCUCUGACGUUAGCGGCGGACGGGUGAGUAACACGUGGAUAACCUACCUAUAAGACUGGGAUAACUUCGGGAAACCGGAGCUAAUACCGGAUAAUAUAUUGAACCGCAUGGUUGAAUAGUGAAAGACGGUUUUGCUGUCACUUAUAGAUGGAUCCGCGCCGCAUUAUCUAGUUGGUAAGGUAACGGCUUACCAAGGCGACGAUGCGUAGCCGACCUGAGAGGCUGAUCGGCCACACUGGAACUGAGACACGGUCCAGACUCCUACGGGAGGCAGCAGUAGGGAAUCUUCCGCAAUGGGCGAGAGCCUGACGGAGCAACGCCGCGUGAGUGAUGAAGGUCUUCGGAUCGUAAAACUCUGUUAUGAGGGAAGAACAAAUGUGUAAGUAACUAUGCACGUCUUGACGGUACCUAAUCAGAAAGCCACGGCUAACUACGUG